rnacentral:rRNA from 1 species
UACGUAGGGUGCAAGCGUUGUCCGGAAUUACUGGGCGUAAAGGGCGCGUAGGCGGGAUGGCAAGUCGGUCGUGAAAUCCCUCGGCUCAACUGAGGAUCGUCGAUCGAUACUGCCGUUCUUGAGGAUUGCAGAGGAGACUGGAAUUCCCGGUGUAGCGGUGAAAUGUGUAGAGAUCGGGAGGAACACCGGUGGCGAAGGCGGGUCUCUGGGCAAUUCCUGACGCUGAGGCGCGAAAGCGUGGGGAGCAAACGGG